rnacentral:tRNA from 1 species
GGGGCUGUAGCUCAGUGGCAAAGUGCUCACCUAGCAUGUGUGAGGCCCUGGGUUCAAUCCUCAGCACCACA